AGAGUUUGAUCCUGGCUCAGGACGAACGCUGGCGGCGUGCCUAACACAUGCAAGUCGAACGGGGAAGUUAGCAAUAACUUUCUAGUGGCGAACGGGCGAGUAACGCGUAGACAACCAACCUUUUUGUGGGGGACAACACUUCGAAAGGAGUGCUAAUACCGCAUGAGCUCCAGAUGCCGCCUGGCGUUUGGAGGAAAGGAGCUUCACGGCUUCGCAAAAAGACGGGUCUGCGUCUGAUUAGCUAGUUGGAGGGGUAACGGCCCACCAAGGCGACGAUCAGUAGCCGGUCUGAGAGGAUGAUCAGCCACACUGGAACUGAAACACGGUCCAGACUCCUACGGGAGGCAGCAGUGAGGAAUUUUGCGCAAUGGGGGAAACCCUGACGCAGCAACGCCGCGUGAGUGAAGAAGGCUUUCGGGUCGUAAAGCUCUGUCAAGAGGGAAGAAUGUAGGAGAUGGUAAUACUAUUUUCUAUUGACGGUACCUCUGAAGGAAGCACCGGCUAACUCCGUGCCAGCAGCC
rnacentral:rRNA from 1 species